rnacentral:RNase_P_RNA from 1 species
AGUGCAACAGAAAGAAACCGCCCCGCACUCAAUCUGUAAGAGAUUCAGUUUAUUAUUUAAGAUAUGUAAACUAUAAAUUAAUUUAGUAUAGAGUCUUUUACAGAUUGAGUGCGGGGUAAGGAUGGAAAGGUGAGGUAAGAGCUCACCGGCAAUCAGGCGACUGGUUGGCCCUGUAAACCCCACCCGGAGCAAGACCAAAAGAGGACCUUGGAGUGGCUGCUCGUCACGGUCCAAAUGGUAGGUCGCUUGAGUUUGCCGGCAACGGCAAGCCUAGAUAGAUGAUUGUUUAAUACAGAACUCGGCUUAUAUAUUUACUCACUAC